rnacentral:rRNA from 1 species
CUGGCUCAGGAUGAACGCUAGCUACAGGCUUAACACAUGCAAGUCAGGGGCAUCAUGGAGUUGCUUGCAAACUCUGAUGGCGACCGGCGCACGGGUGAGUAACGCGUAUCCAACCUUCCCUAUAGUAGAGGAUAGCCCGGCGAAAGUCGGAUUAAUACUCUAUGUUUUCCGUUGCAGACAUCUAAGAUGGAACAAAGGCUUGCCGCUAUAGGAUGGGGGAUGCGUCUGAUUAGGUAGUCGGCGGGGUAACGGCCCACCGAGCCAUCGAUCAGUAGGGGUUCUGAGAGGAAGGUCCCCCACAUUGGAACUGAGACACGGUCCAAACUCCUACGGGAGGCAGCAGUGAGGAAUAUUGGUCAAUGGGCGAGAGCCUGAACCAGCCAAGUAGCCGUGCAGGACGACGGCCCUAUGGGUUGUAAACUGCUUUUAUGCGGGGAUAAAGUUCACUACGUGUAGUGUUUUGUAGGUACCGCAUGAAUAAGGACCGGCUAAUUCCGUGCCAGCCGCCGC